rnacentral:lncRNA from 1 species
UAUAGACCAGAUCUCAUUGUCUCAUCGAUUUUUCCAUGGGUCCUUACCAUCUGAAUCAAUUCUGAACAAAUAGUAUCUCUCUUUAGCUUUGCUAUUAUUACAGUGUUAUUUGCACCCAACAUCUUUAUCUCUCCCAUUUCCUACUCAAAUCCUAGCCGCCUAAGAAUCCUCCAUCGGCGGCUCACCUAUAAACACCUUCAAACCUGCACCAGAUAAUCUUCACUUUUCCCUCUCCUCAAACCCGUAGUCAUUCCCUUCAAAUCGCUGUAUAUUUAUCCGAUUUUCAAAUAUCAAAAAGAAGCCAGAAAACCCUUAGUCUGUCUGUUUCUUAAUCUUUCAUUUUGUCUCCAACUUACGUGAAUCGAUUGCUCUUAACGUGACUUCAUGUUAGUUUUGGUUCAUUCCGAAACUUACUGGACCUUUGUCACACAGUCACUGACUGGCCAAAUCUUGUCUAAAAUCAUUUUGAUCAUAUUUCUUUCAAUGGGUAUUCCCUUGCCUCACUUUAUCAUGUUUUUUAUGUCGUUGUUUAAAAAAUAGUUUGUAGUCAUUAUGGAACUUAAUUGACAGUAUUUCUGUUGGUUUGAUUUAAUUUUAACCAUAAUGGUGUAGUUCAUAACUAAUUGCAACCUUUGCAUUCAUAGUUUGUUAAUUAUUUAGUUAUAUGUUUAUGUUAAAUUAUUAAUAGCGUGAUUUAGCAUUUCAAUUACAGAUAAUUAGUAUAAUUGCAUAAUUUUAAAAUAAUUGGUCCAUAUUUGAUUGGGAAUUGAAGCAGGUUAAUAUUGAUUGAGUCUGUUUGAGUAUGAUUGCUUUUUUUGAGGGGGUUAAUUUAUAAUUAACAGAAGUUGCAACGGGUCAAAAGAAAAUAGAAAAUAGAGAAUCUUUCUAUCAUUUUAUAGGAAGCUCUAGAAGGGGUCAAAAUGCAAUAAGACAAGUGAAAUUAGGGCUAAAAGGGUGAAUUUUCGGAAGCUAAAGGUUUGAAAAAUAAAAAGAAAUAUCUGAAAAAAGGAUAGCUGUCAAAUUCAGUUGCAAAAGAUGCUAAUUCCGUGAUUUUUAGGAACAUGGCAGAAUAUUCCCACAAGAAUUGUUGAUUCUUGUUGAUUGGCUGACUUAUUGGAUAUGCUUAGCUGAACUUCCCCUUAAAUAUCUUCAACCCUUUAUUUGGUCAAGGCUUUACGAUUUUUCUGCAAAUAGGUACACACCAUAAGUCUAUGCAUGAGCUUUGUUUGGUUUAUAUGAAUAUACUAUUGAUUUUUCCUGCCCCAAAAUAAGCUGAUUUUAUAUGUUUCUUCUGCAUGUCUAUGCAUUAGUUGUGUUUGAAACCUUUUCAUCUUGUUGAAAUCUCUGCUAUAUGUAUUGAUUCUGAUCAGAAAUGCGUAAAUUUUGUCUCAGAAGGUUGAAAACUAUCUCAUAGUCUAUUAUCAAUGUGAAGUUAAAUUGCUAGAUUGAAGUGAUUACAGGGAUGCAAUGGAGCAUGCUUUGGAAUUUUUCUGGGAUUAUUCUAUUUUUGGUUAUGUAAGCAUUAGAAUGGAUAGUCAUACAUGCGGUAAAGAAGAUUCAUGUUUGAUCAUUGUCGCAACAGUCAGUGUAUGAGCACGAGGAAAUGGAUUUGAAUUUGAUUUUAAAUGUGAAAGUUAGAAAGGACUUGAAGUGAGCAAAUCAUGAUUCACUAGAUGUCAAAUAGUUGGGAUCGAUGAGAUUUUUGUGUGUGUUCUCAUAGAAUUUAUCUAUUAACGAUGUUGGUUAUCUUAAGUUUAAAAUGUGACCUUUGAUGCAGUGAUUUAUUAGUGUAACUCUGCAAGUCUAAUAUCAGACUAUUUUGUGUAGGUUUGUUGAACGAUAUAGAAAUCUCUUUUGCUUACAUAUUGUAUGUUAAGCUACGUGGUGGUUCGAACUUGGGCCUGUAAUUUGUUUAAGCUCGAUUUCAGUCAUGGACUCUAUCUUGGAUUAGGCUCAAUUCAGUCUCAUUUGGAGGCCUAGCUAUGUACGUCUGCCUUUUUUCUGAGAAUUCUGUAGAGAGUUUUGGGAGAAGUGAUUUUCUCGUAUUGCUCACAAAAGUAUAUAAGAGUACAGGGGUAUCAAAUCCUACCAACUAUAGGACUGUACAAUAAUGAAGGAAAUCAAAU